AAUUAACCGUGUGCUUUGCACCGGAUUUGGGUAAUGCAAUUAGGUUGCUUGCCUUAAAUAGAUUAGUCGGAAUUUUCCCAAGUAACAAAGCGUAAUAAGUUUCGCUACGUGAAACGGAUUGAAGCUGGCUUCUAAUCGCCGUUUGGCAAUUUUUAGA
rnacentral:misc_RNA from 1 species